rnacentral:rRNA from 1 species
AAACUCACCAGGUCCAGAUACGAGUAUGAAGGACAAGCUGAAAGACUUUUCCCAAUUACGUAAGUGGUGGUGCAUGGCCGUUAAUAUACUAGGGGCGGCUCAAAGUAGCUGCGCGAGCAGCCGCUAGUGACGAAAAGACCUCAGUGAACCACUGAAGGCCUAUUGUUGCGAUGCUGUCCAAGUGCAGGGACCCCCAAUGUGGACCAUGGUACCGCCCAUGGCUUGAAAAAGCCCUGUGGCACCUCGGGAGCACCGAGGGUAUGGUAACAAGCCAUGAUCUUGGGCUACCAGCAGCCAAAUCCUAAAGUGACGCCCUCCAGCGCCGCCAUGGAUGCAGUUCAACGACUAAAUGGCAGCAGGCCGGCUUGUCCUCACCUAGGAGAGGGCAAAUAGGCUCAAGAAAUAGUCUUGCGACCCUGCAACAGGGUCGCAUUUUGAUGUCUUAGUUCGUGGAGUGAUCUGUCUGGUCUAUUCCGAUAACGAGCGAGAUCCCAACGUUCUUAAUAGAUGGAGCUUCUCAUCCACAGUCUCUAGGGACUGUGGCCAUAGCUUUUAAACUUAAAAGUUCUUCUUAGACGGAUCGGAGCCGAUGAGGUUCCUGAAAUGGGGUAAUAACAGGUUCGGCUGGCCUGUAAGAGUCACCAGUUGCUAGUAGGCGGCCCCAGCGGGGCCAUGCCUGCGACACCUUCCAAUUGCGAGGACCCUCCGACACUGUGUGCCCUCACAACUGCUCUGCCGAAAGGUAGGGUAGCGUAACAGCAGGGUAACCAGGAGAUACUCGCAGCCAAGCCCUAAACAUGGCUCCCUAUACCCGUAGGGACCCUGCAUGGGUGCAGUUCACAGACUAAAAGGAGGUGGGGCUGCGCAUUAGGUCGCUCUAAUCAAUACGAGCGCCUAAACAGCCUUAAGAUGUAGUCGAAUCAAGCAGUCAUGCCCUUAGAUGUUCUGGGCCGCACGCGCGUUACAAUGGCAGGGAAAAAUAGUGCUCUUCGGGGUGCCCCAUAGCCUAACGGUUGUUGUAAUCUCUAAACCCUCCCCUGACUGGGAUAGUCUAUUGUAAUUAUUGGUCUUGAACGAGGAAUUUUUAGUAGUCGUAGGUCAUUAGCCUGCGACGAAUCAGUCCCUGCCCUCUACAGGGGGUUUAGAGGGCUGCAGCCCUAGUCCCAGCCCUGCUGAGGCGACACUGCUAAAUUGCUGGGAAAUUCGUGCACCUGUGCCUACCAAACAGUACCCGAAAGGGUUCUUGUGGCCCCAGCUAGUCCCUGGGGGUAAGGUAACAACGGUACAGGCUUGAAUCACCUGCAGCCAAGCCCCAAACAGAGCCUAAAACGCUGCUGUGGGGUGCAGCUCACAGACUAUGAGGCAGUGGGUGGAGCC